UGUCAUCUUUGUUAUUCUAUUGUAUUUUUACGUCAAAUUAGUAAUUUUCAGAGGUUUCGCCUUUUUUCCUAUCUAAUGCUAUUAUUUAUUUAUUAUAUAUGUAAGUUGAAGCAUUCAUAAGCAACUCCUGUAAGCUUAGCGGCACCGUUUCAGGAUUUUUAUAAUUUUUUAGAAGCUCAUCGCUGAAUGUUGAAAGACGAACACUUCAUAAUGUACUCUGUGACGAACACUCAAAAAAGAUGUGAUGUAGUGUUUGAACCUUUUGCGAUUGACAACAAUCACAAUAUGCUGAGCUGACCAUUUGGAGACGAUGAAGAACCAGGGUACGGUAUUGACUUGGACAUCAAGAAUAUUUUCAUUGUGCACAUGAUUAUAUGAAUGUCUCCCCCAUGCUUCACACAUGCGUUGCCUAAAGAGACAACUACAGCUGUGUAAGUGCAGUUGACAAAUACUUUCCGAGUGGAACAAUUCCUAUGAAAACCAAACUGAUGGUAAGAUACAAUUUUUCCAAGAGAAGUGCUCAGCAUUAGAAGAAUAAUA
rnacentral:lncRNA from 1 species